rnacentral:rRNA from 1 species
UACGUAGGCAGCAAGCGUUGUUCGGAGUUACUGGGCGUAAAGGGUGCGUAGGCGGUCCUAUAAGUAUGGUGCGAAAUCUCCCGGCUUAACUGGGAGGGUGCGCUAUAGACUGUGGGACUAGAGUGUGGGAGAGGAAAGUGGAAUUCCUGGUGUAGCGGUGAAAUGCGUAGAUAUCAGGAGGAACACCGGUGGUGUAAACGGCUUUCUGGACCAUAACUGACGCUGAGGCACGAAAGCGUGGGUAGCAAACAGG